rfam:Stegodyphus mimosarum contig59783, whole genome shotgun sequence.
GCCUUCGUGGUGUAGUGGUCAGCACGCUCGACGCGUAACCGAGAGGUCCGUGGUUCAAUUCCCGGCGAAGGCA